AGAACGAACGCUGAUGGCGUGCCUCAUACAUGCAAGUCGAGCGCGUAGCAAUACGAGCGGCGGACGGGUGAGUAACGCGUGAACAAUCUGCCUCAAAGUGGGGGAUAACCAUUCCAACGGAUGGCUAAUACCGCAUAGGGUUUAAGGGGGGCAUCUUCCUUUAACGAAAGGCUUCGGCCGCUUUAAGAUGAGUUCGCGUCCCAUUAGCUAGUUGGCGGGGUAACGGCCCACCAAGGCGACGAUGGGUAGCCGGCCUGAGAGGGUGUCCGGCCACGAUUGGGACUGAGAUACGGCCCAGACUCCUACGGGAGGCAGCAGUAGGGAAUUUUGCGCAAUGGGGGAAACCCUGACGCAGCAACGCCAUGUGUGGGAUGAAGCAUUUCGGUGUGUAAACCACUGUCGGCAGGGAAUAAAGCCCACAUUUAUGUGGGGUGAAUGUACCUGCAGAGGAAGCCCCGGCUAACUUCGUGCCAGCAGCCGC
rnacentral:rRNA from 1 species